rnacentral:rRNA from 1 species
AUUGAACGCUGGCGGUAGGCCUAACACAUGCAAGUCGAACGAGUGGCGGACGGGUGAGUAAUACCUCGGAAACUACUUUAUCGUGGGGGAUAACGACUGGAAACUUACGCUAAUACCGCAUACCAUUGAAUGAGCCCAUGUGGGAUUAGCUAGUUGGCGGGGUAAAGGCCCACCAAGGCGACGAUCCGUAGCUGGUCUGAGAGGAUGAUCAGGCACACUGGAACUGAGACACGGUCCAGACUCCUACGGGAGGCAGCAGUGGGGAAUAUUGGACAAUGGGCGAAAGCCUGAUCCAGCCAUGCCGCGUGUAUGAAGAAGGUCGUCGGAUUGUAAAGCACUUUAAGUUGGGAGGCGUUACCAACAGAAUAAGCACCGGCUAACUCCGUGCCAGCAGCCGCGGUAAUAC